ACCUGGACCCUAUGUGACCCUAAGCAGGGAUCCAAGCAGGAACUGUCAGAGUGUUCCUGAGGAGGCGUGGCUUGCCACCAAGUCUAGGGAGACUGGCUUCAGAAGCCUUUCUGCUGAACAGCAGGUUCACCCUCUCUGCGGCAUUCUAGAAGGAACAUAAAAGUCAGAACAGCUCCGCAGAUGAUUGCCUGAGGUUACCCCAGAAGUCCUGUGGCAUCUGCAAUGUGCCUGAACAUUUCCCAUUCUUUUAAAACAUCUUUCUGCAGAUUUUGCCAAAGCCAGAAACAAACAUAACCAAGCCAAGCCCUUUGGAGCGGAGCUUGUCAGUCCACACUUUGCUGUGUGUAAGCAAAUGGUAACUGCAACUGUUGCCCAGGCCCUGUAAACAAAAGGUCCAAUGUGUUCUGCCUUGGGGAGAAGGGAAGCUGCAGCGAUUCCUUUCGUUUGGACAAGAUUUCUUUUUUUCCUUCUUUUUACAAGUUUGAGGCUUCAAAUCAAUAGCUGGAAUUGUCCUUUUUUCUAAUUUACAGAAAAAUUGAAAACAUUAGUAAAUUUAAAGAUUAAAAUACUAUUUAAAAAUGAAUAUAAUCUAGAUUGUAGGUUAACAUAUAGUUUAGCUCCACAGUAGAAUCAAGUAGCUGUGUGUUCCAGUUGUACUCUGAGGGAUUCCAAGUAUUUUUUGUUGUUUAUGUCUCUGGAUUUAUGAAUAAAGAGCUGAUCCCUCUCAGGAUCAGGAAAAUUAAGAAAAAUAA